GACGAACCGUGCGAACGUUGUUCGGAUUCACUGGGCUUAAAGGGCGCGUAGGCGGUUUCUCAAGUCCGGGGUGAAAUCUUUCGGCUUAACCGGAAAAGUGCCUUGGAUACUGAGAAGCUGGAGGGAGGUAGGGGCAGCUGGAACUUCCAGUGGAGCGGUGAAAUGCGUUGAUAUUGGAAGGAACUCCGGUGGCGAAAGCGAGCUGCUGGAUCUCUUCUGACGCUGAGGCGCGAAAGCUAGGGGAGCAAACGG
rnacentral:rRNA from 1 species